rnacentral:rRNA from 1 species
AUUGAACGCUGGCGGCAGGCCUAACACAUGCAAGUCGAGCGGCAGCGGGAAAGUAGCUUGCUACUUUUGCCGGCGAGCGGCGGACGGGUGAGUAAUGCCUGGGGAUCUGCCCAGUCGAGGGGGAUAACAGUUGGAAACGACUGCUAAUACCGCAUACGCCCUACGGGGGAAAGGAGGGGACCUUCGGGCCUUUCGCGAUUGGAUGAACCCAGGUGGGAUUAGCUAGUUGGUGGGGUAAUGGCUCACCAAGGCGACGAUCCCUAGCUGGUCUGAGAGGAUGAUCAGCCACACUGGAACUGAGACACGGUCCAGACUCCUACGGGAGGCAGCAGUGGGGAAUAUUGCACAAUGGGGGAAACCCUGAUGCAGCCAUGCCGCGUGUGUGAAGAAGGCCUUCGGGUUGUAAAGCACUUUCAGCGAGGAGGAAAGGUUGGUACCUAAUACGUAUCAGCUGUGACGUACUCGCAG